rnacentral:rRNA from 1 species
UGCCUUACACAUGCAAGUCGAACGGCAGCACGGGGGCAACCCUGGUGGCGAGUGGCGAACGGGUGAGUAAUACAUCGGAACGUGUCCUGUAGUGGGGGAUAGCCCGGCGAAAGCCGGAUUAAUACCGCAUACGCUCUACGGAGGAAAGGGGGGGAUCUUAGGACCUCCCGCUACAGGGGCGGCCGAUGGCAGAUUAGCUAGUUGGUGGGGUAAAGGCCUACCAAGGCGACGAUCUGUAGCUGGUCUGAGAGGACGACCAGCCACACUGGGACUGAGACACGGCCCAGACUCCUACGGGAGGCAGCAGUGGGGAAUUUUGGACAAUGGGGGCAACCCUGAUCCAGCAAUGCCGCGUGUGUGAAGAAGGCCUUCGGGUUGUAAAGCACUUUUGUCCGGAAAGAAAACGCCGUGGUUAAUACCCGUGGCGGAUGACGGUACCGGAAGAAUAAGCACCGGCUAACUACGUGCCACAGCCGCGGUAAUACGUAGGGUGCAAGCGU